UACGUAGGGACCGAGCGUUGUCCGGAUUCAUUGGGCGUAAAGAGCUCGUAGGCGGCCACUCAAGUCGAAUGUGAAACCUCGAGGCUUAACCUCGAGCCUGCAUUCGAUACUGGGCGGCUAGAGUCUGGUAGGGGGAUCUGGAAUUCCUGGUGUAGCGGUGGAAUGCGCAGAUAUCAGGAGGAACACCGGUGGCGAAAGGCAGGAUCCUGGGCCAGUACUGACGCUGAGGAGCGAAAGCGUGGGG
rnacentral:rRNA from 1 species